rnacentral:rRNA from 1 species
AACAUGAUUCUUUUAGUAAUGGCGAAUGAACAAAGACAUGGUCAUUUUGAAAAUUGUGGUCUUAGAUCAUGAAUUGUAUUUUCAAAAUGCAUUGCUAACACAACUGCACAUGUUUGUUUAUUGGAAAGAACAUCACAAAGGGUGACAAUCCCAUGUGUCAUGUGUAUGUUUUGUGUACAGCGUGCAUUAUAUGAAUCACAUUCAUUGACAAUUGAAUGCAAAUAGAAUGGUAAAUUUCAUUUAAUCAUAAAUAUGUUGUUGACAACUUAUAGCAAACAAAUACCAUGAGGGAAAUGUGAAAAGGAUUUUGAAAAGAAAAUUAAAAGAGCUUGCAAUUGCUGAACUGAUAAGCAAACAAAACAUACGUGUGUAUGCAAGAUUGUUGUAAUGCUUAGCAUCUUAUGCAAGGCUAUUGCAAUGAUUUUUUGUAUAGUGAUGCUACCUUUCUUUAGAAUCUGGAAUGUCUUUUUUUGAGUGUGAAUGGAAUUUUGUUUGUUAGCAAAGGAAUGCACUUUUAGAUUCAUUGUUUGAUUUGAUUAAAAAAUGUUUGUGACACAUGUCUUUGUUUUAGUUGCAUGCUUCAACCAAGGACAUUGUGUUUGAUCCAUGUCAGCAAUACAUGUUUUGUUUGACCCGUCUUGAAACACGGACCAAGGAGUUUAAUUUAUGUGCAAGAUCAUGAAACUGACAUUUGUAUAUCAAUGAAAAUAUUUUGUUGGGAUUUGUGCACCAACAACUGAUAAGUUGUGUGACGCGACGUUGAGUUUGAGCAUGUUGAUUAAAACCCGAAAGAUGGUGAACUAUGCCUGAACAGAAUGAAGUCAGAGGAAACUCUGA